CCUACGGGUGGCAGCAGUGGGGAAUAUUGGGCAAUGGGCGCAAGCCUGACCCAGCAACGCCGCGUGAAGGAAGAAGGCUUUCGGGUUGUAAACUUCUUUUAAGAGGGGAGAGCAGAAGACGGUACCUCUUGAAUAAGCCACGGCUAACUACGUGCCAGCAGCCGCGGUAAUACGUAGGGAGCGAGCGUUGUCCGGAUUUACUGGGUGUAAAGGGUGCGUAGGCGGCUUGGCAAGUCAGUAGUGAAAUCCAUGGGCUUAACCCAUGAACUGCUAUUGAAACUGUCGAGCUUGAGUGAAGUAGAGGUAGGCGGAAUUCGCGGUGUAGCGGUGAAAUGCGUAGAGAGCGGGAAGAACACCGGUGGCGAAGGCAGCCUACUGGGCUUUAACUGACGCUGAGGCACGAAAGCGUGGGUAGCAAACAGGAUUAGAUACCCCAGUAGUC
rnacentral:rRNA from 1 species